AUGGACGAGGAGGAGCACGAGGUGUACGGCCAGGAGAUCCCCGUGGACGGCGACAUGGAAGGCGCCGACGUCGACAUGGCCGCCGCCGGAGACGACGCAGCGAAGGAGCUCGACGAGAUGAAGCGUAGGCUCAAGGAGAUGGAGGAGGAGGCCGCCGCCCUGCGCGACAUGCAGGCCAAGGUCGCCAAGGAGAUGCAAGGAGGAGAUGCCAAUGCGUCUACAGCUGAGGCAAAAGAACAGGUUGAUGCCCGCUCUGUUUAUGUUGGAAAUGUUGAUUAUGCGUGUACACCAGAGGAAGUGCAGCAGCAUUUCCAAGCUUGUGGAACCGUCAACAGAGUGACAAUCUUGACCGACAAGUUUGGACAGCCAAAAGGCUUUGCUUAUGUGGAAUUUCUAGAACAAGAAGCCGUUCAGGAGGCUCUUAAUCUGAAUGAAUCUGAGUUGCAUGGUCGCCAGAUCAAGGUGUCACCAAAGAGGACUAACGUCCCUGGGAUGAAGCAGCGUCCUCCACGCGGAUUCAAUCCCUACCAUGCCUACCCUUAUAGAUCAUACGGGGCACCGUAUUUCCCACCGUACGGAUAUGGGAGAGUUCCCAGAUUCCGCCGGCCGACACGCUACAGGCCGUACUUCUGA
rnacentral:rRNA from 1 species